rnacentral:lncRNA from 1 species
AUGAGUAAAAAAAGAGACCAAAAAAAAAAAAGAAACAUCUUUUCCUUAAUCAAAACAGAGUCUUUAUCCUCAACCAGACCAGGGCUCUUCACUAAAGCUGGACUCUCCCCCUCUUUUACUCAUAAGAGUGCUUCACUGAUUUUUGAAAGUGAAAUGAAAAGGUUGCAAAUUGCAGGCAAAGAUGUGCGGCUUUUUUCAAGGACAGGGGGAAACAAACUGGUAAUGUGUUAUCAAUGCAGGCAGCUUCAGUAAUUAAAAGCAGCUUUCCAAAGGCUGAGCUUUUCUCUACAAUUCAUGAAAACAGUGUGAAUUAUGCCUUAAUCUUCUGUCAACCUCCCCAACCAAAUAAAAAAAUAAAAACCAGGAACAGGAAAUCCAGAACUUUAAGUCUUUCCAUCUCUCAAAGGUCUUGGGAGAAUUUUUGUUAACCUCUUCAUCCUUCUCCCUUCCUUUCAUUGCCCACUCCCACCAGUCUACUUCUUGAAAAAGAUUAUNNNNNNNNNNNNNNNNNNNNNNNNNNNNNNNNNNNNNNNNNNNNNNNNNNNNNNNNNNNNNNNNNNNNNNNNNNNNNNNNNNNNNNNNNNNNNNNNNNNAUGUCCUGUGUUUCCUUAUCUCUGAGUUUUUAUAUAAGCUGGAGUCCCUCUGCCUGGGAGAUUCUUCCCCAUCCUCUAUCCCUUCAUUGUUAAAGUCCUAUAUCAUCGGAGCAGAUUCUUUAGAGACCGUUAAAAAUGGAAUUAUUAAUAUUAUUUAAUGACAGAAAAUAAUUAUAAUGUUAAUUGGAAUAAUCAAGUUGCCAAAUGGUAUCUAUUCUGUGACAACUCCAUAAAAUCAUAAAUUCAGAUGGAUAAAGUAAAUAUGCAACAAUGAAAAUAGCUACCAUAAUAAUGAGAUAAAGGUUUUAAAAUUUAAGUUAGGUUUUAAAGGUUUUAAAAUUUAAUUGAAAAAGUUUGGUAUAAAUUUAAAUUUUUUUUCUUAAAAAAAUGCCUGUCCUUUCUUUAAAGACCAAAUGAUAUCUUUUCUAAAACCCUUGAUAUGAAUUUUCCUUCUCUUUGUUAGAGGCUCAAUUACAUAGCAUCUAUCACAUACCAUCUUGUAUCUGAGGCAAUAAACUAUGUGCUUUCCUCGAUUAUUAAAAUUGUGAAAUUUUGAAGACCAAGAAACUCAUCUUUAUGUUUUCUUUGCAUCCUUUAUAGAACCCAGCAGAUUACUUGGCAAACAGUAGGGGAUGAUAAAUACUUGAUUAACAAUAAACCUUUCUGAAGUAGCUGAAAGUAGGGAUAAGGUACCAAAUUAAAAGCAAGGGAAAGUCUGCACAAACAGUGAGCUCCCAGCCCCUUCACUUCUUGGGCCCAGAAAACUGGAAGACUUCUCUGUGUGGAAGUCAAAGGGGUUGGGGGUAUAUACUGUAUGUAUAUACAGUAUCCCACCACUAUGGGAUUGCUUCAGAUAACACAUAUUGAUAGGGUUCAGAUAACCCAUAAUAAUAGGUUCAGAUAACCCUAUUGUGAAAUGCUGUAGUGAAUAGUAACUGCCCACUCAUACAAAGGAUGGGACUAAAUCAGGAAAGAGGAAGACAAGAGGUGAAAAAAAAACAGUGGAUCCAACACAGAAAAGAGAUCAAGAGAAUUCUCACAAUGCUGAUAAACGGAAUCCUGCAGACAAUAGUGGUACGACAGGUGUAGAGUGCAAGCCGUUCAGACGGAAUUCAACAUAGCAAGAAGCUGUCUCUAACAAGAAUGCAAAAAAGGGAAUGGACAGCAUUCAUUACAUAUGUGCAUAUGUAUAAACACACUGAGUAGUUGUAAAGCUUUCAGGCAGCUUGCAAUUUAAUUUGUGAUGUUGUUUAGUUGCUCGGUUAUGCUUGACUCUUUUGAGACCUCAUGGACGGUAGCCCAUCAGGCUCCUCUGUCCAUGGAACUUCCCAGGUAAGAAUACUGGAAUGGGUUGCCAUUUCCCCCUCUAAAGGGGAUCUUCCCGAACCAGGGAUUGAACCCAGUGCAGAAGACAUCUUCUGCACUGGCAGGUGGAUUCUUUACUACUGAACUGCGAGAAUUCCCUUAAUAUGUGACAGUUGUACAGAAAAUGAAAGCAAACAAAAGUGUACAAUAAAUAAUUAUAAAUAUGGUACAAUGGUUCAGAUGUGAAAAAUACUAUAGCUACAUAGUGCAAUAAUAUAAAUACUGACUAUUUACAUAACAAAAAAUGUACUAGGGUAGGAGGCAGGGAUUUAACUUUUUUAUAUAUUACUUUUCUUCCAAAUUAAAUAUUGGAACCUGUGGCUUGAUGGCAGUUUUCCUUCUCUGCUGUGUAAAUUUACUUGAAACAUUUUACAAAAGUAU